rnacentral:rRNA from 1 species
GUUCGUGCUACGUAGCUGCAUGUAGAUCGAGCGGACCUUCAGGCAGCCUUGCUCCCUGAGGUUAGCGGCGGACGGGUGAGUAACACGUGGGCAACCUGCCUGUAAGACUGGGAUAACUCCGGGAAACCGGGGCUAAUACCGGAUAAUUCAUUUCCUCUCAUGAGGAAAUGCUGAAAGACGGUUUCGGCUGUCACUUACAGAUGGGCCCGCGGCGCAUUAGCUAGUUGGUGAGGUAACGGCUCACCAAGGCCACGAUGCGUAGCCGACCUGAGAGGGUGAUCGGCCACACUGGGACUGAGACACGGCCCAGACUCCUACGGGAGGCAGCAGUAGGGAAUCUUCCGCAAUGGACGAAAGUCUGACGGAGCAACGCCGCGUGAGCGAAGAAGGCCUUCGGGUCGUAAAGCUCUGUUGUUAGGGAAGAACAAGUAUCGGAGUAUCUGUCGGUACCUUGACGGUACCUAACCAGAAAGCCACGGCUAACUACGUGCCAGCAGCCGCGGUAAUACGUAGGUGGCAAGCGUUGUCCGGAAUUAUUGGGCGUAAAGCGCGCGCAGGCGGUCCUUUAAGUCUGAUGUGAAAGCCCACGGCUCAACCGUGGAGGGUCAUUGGAAACUGGGGGGACUUGAGUGCAGAAGAGGAGAGUGGAAUUCCACGUGUAGCGGUGAAAUGCGUAGAGAUGUGGAGGAACACCAGUGGCGAAGGCGACUCUCUGGUCUGUAACUGACGCUGAGGCGCGAAAGCGUGGGGAGCGAACAGGAUUAGAUACCCUGGUAGUCCACGCCGUAAACGAUGAGUGCUAAGUGUUAGAGGGUUUCCGGCCCUUUAGUGCUGCAGCAAACGCAUUUAGCACUCCGGCUGGGGAGUACCGGCCGCCAAGGCUGAAACUCAAAAGGAAUUGACGGGGGGCCCCGCCACAAGCGGUUGGUAGCAUGUUGGUUUUAAUUCGAAAGCAAACGCGAUAGCACUUUACCAGGUCUUUGGACAUCCUCUGGACACUUCUGGAAGAACGUUCCUUUCCGCUUCGAGGGACAGAAUGGACCAGGUGGUGCCAUGAUGUCUCGUCAUGCUCGUGGACCAGGAAGUUUAGGACUCAAGCAGCAAUCGAGUGCUACCGUGAGU